rnacentral:rRNA from 1 species
UACGUAGGGUGCGAGCGUUAAUCGGAAUUACUGGGCGUAAAGGGCUCGUAGGCGGCCAACUAAGUCGGAUGUGAAAUCCCCAGGCUUAACCUGGGAACUGCAUCCGAUACUGGAUGGCUUGAAUUCGGGAGAGGAUGCAGAAUUCCAGGGUGUAGCGGUGAAAUGCGUAGAUAUCGGGAGGAACACCGGUGGCGAAGGCGGGACUCUGGCCUACCCGUGACGCGUGAGGCGCGAAGGCCGUGGGGAGCAAACGGGG